rnacentral:rRNA from 1 species
UACGUAGGGGGCAAGCGUUGUCCGGAUUUAUUGGGCGUAAAGCGUCCGUAGGUGGCUCUCUCAAGUCUGCGGUCAAAGACCGGGGCUCAACCCUGGAAAGGCCGUGGAAACUGGUGAGCUAGAGUGCGGUAGGGGCAGAGGGAAUUCCCAGUGUAGCGGUGAAAUGCGCAGAUAUCAGGAAGAACACCCGUGGCGAAGGCGGCUUUCUGGGACGGUACUGACGCUGAGACGCGAAAGCGUGGGGAGCGAACAGG